GUGCUGCUUAUGUCGUCCUCAGGCUGAAGAAUUACAUUCAGGUGUUACACACCAGUUUUGAAUAAAUAGGAGAGCAUAGUGAGAAAGAACUGUAAAGUAUCUGGUAUUCACUCUUCUCUGUUUUCUGCUUCUUGAGUUUUUUUAUUCUUCCCCCAUGCUUUAUUCUGUUGUGAGGCUGAAUUGUAUGCCUGAAGUCUGAGCAGGUGAAGAGGAGUCCUGAAGGCUAAAUUCCUGUGCCUUGGGGAGCCUGCAACCCCUUCAGGAUGUACUGACAUAACUUCCAGUUGUGUUGAUGAUGGAGAUCGUGCAUACUUUGGAUUUUGUAGUCCCAAAAAGGCAUCCAUUCUAAAAGCACCUUAUGGGAGGAGCGGAACAAAACAUAUCCUGGAGAGACUUGAGGAGAAAACAAGUCAAAUUUGAAGAUGCUGUGUCCUCAACAUUGUGAUUUACACAUAUUAACUUAAUAUUAACAUAUUAAGGUAUCAGGUCUAACAUGUAAAUGUGGGAAAGGCUCAGACUGAAUUGUGCUGGACUGGCAUAUAUAUAUAUAUAUAUCUGGGUACCCAUGCUGGUAAAACAGUCAUGAAGAAUAUUGGGAGCAUUUGACUGCAAAGGGACUGCUUGAAAAUGUCAGAUUACCAAAUCUGAUGGCCAUACCUUUAAGGCCAUCUAGAUUAUCUUCUUACAUGAAAAGGAUUUCCUAAUUAUUUUUGCUUCAAGUCCAAGAGAAUUAAAUAAUACUCAGUACCUGCUAGUGCUAAAAACCAGUAUGUAAUUUGUCACACAUACCUCGGUGAAAUAGCCAGGAAGUUUAAAAGGCUUAGAAUAAAC
rnacentral:lncRNA from 1 species